rnacentral:rRNA from 1 species
GACGAACCGUCCGAACGUUAUUCGGAAUCACUGGGCUUAAAGGGUGCGUAGGCGGCGCGGAAAGUUGGGUGUGAAAUCCCACGGCUUAACCGAGGAACUGCGCCCAAAACUACCGUGCUUGAGGGAGAUAGAGGUGAGCGGAACUUAGGGUGGAGCGGUGAAAUGCGUUGAUAUCCUAAGGAACACCGGUGGCGAAAGCGGCUCACUGGAUCUCUUCUGACGCUGAGGCACGAAAGCUAGGGUAGCGAACGGG